rnacentral:misc_RNA from 1 species
GAAAACGGUAAUGCACAAAAGUGAUGCUUUAUUUCAGUUGGGACAGAUAGAAUAGGCUGUCUUUUGCGCCUUUGAAAAUAGAUAAAACUCUAUAAUUAUCAUGAUGAGAUUCUCAUUGUCCUGGAUUCCAAGAGAAAAACUCGAUAUAUGUUUAAGAAAGGGUCAUCCACUGCCAGUUACUAUAAAAGAAAAUAUUUCCUUUUGAUUUUUGCAAUAAAGUUGAAGUCAGUUUUCUAACAUAUCUGCAGGCAACUGCCAAUUUAGUUCCUCUUAAUGCACGGAGAGUUGCUGUAAAAUUUGACUCUUUCAAGAUAGCAAGUCUGAUACCUAUAAAGAACCGAGGAAGUGGUCGUGGUGAACUUGAAAUCACAUACCUGGAUGAAGAACUAAGGAUAUCAAGGGGCAACCAAGGAAACCUGUUUAUUCUAAGAAUGGUGGAUCCAUCAUAUAGAGUCCCUCUUUAAGCAUGGCUCAUGUGGAUAGUUAUUGUCUCAACUCUCAAGCAUCGGUCUUAACCAUUUCAGUUGGACAUCAGUGUUGGAACUAGUUCUCAUGACGCGUACAAGCUUGAUCAGAUUUCCGAUCAACAACAAUGAAGAUAUGCUUCAUGGUAAAGCUAAACAACAUAGUCCAACUUGCUUCACAUUUUACUGUGGUGCUAUGAUUGACCA